GUUUAAAUACUGUUUAUAAUUAAUUCUAAUGAGUAUCCACUGGGACUCUGUGUAACAUGAGCGCCCUCUGCUGGUGCCCCUGCAGACUUGAGCGGUGCAGCCCGUGUAUCUUUGCCAAUCUGCACUGUCAUGCUGUCCCCGUGGUGAAACAGCGUGCUGGUGCCAAAAGUUAAAAGUGUUUGCCUGAUUCAUCACACAACACAAGAGAGAGUACACAACCGCUACAUAAGAAAAAAUAUAUAACAUGGGUUUAGUACAUUUUUAAUUGAUUUAUACAUUUUAAUGUAAACAUUGUCAUAACAUUCUACAUAUUGUACAUUUAAUAGAGUGAAGUCAUUGUUGAUGUUUUAUUCACAUCUGUGGUUUGCCUGCUUUGACAGAUGAAAGCCUCGACACAGGCCAUUCAGCUCCCAGUACUAGGCUGCCACGUAAAAGGAAAGAUGAAAGCCUUGACACAGGCCAUUCAGCUCCCAGGUUGCCACGGAAAAGAAAAGAAUGUCCCCACACAGUUACGGGAAGCCAGGAUUUUUACCCAGUGAAGAGGGUUGCGAAAUACAAAGUUAUUAAGGGCCACAAAAUGAAGCAAGUGGAGUGGCAGCCUGCACACUCUGUGGAAAGAAGUGGCCAUUGGAGUGGGUGGCGGAUGAAGACACGUGCUGAUUCUUCAGUUUUAUUAAGUGCCCAAGAUCCUGGAGCUGUCACUGUUUACAAAAAGUUUUAUUUUGGAAGAUGUUUCUGAAAAUAGCACUUAAGUACUUUGUUUACACUCUUGCCAUUGACGCCAUUCAUCUCUCUUUUUUUUUUUUUUACAACCUUAACUCUGUCACAACUGUUAUUGUAAGUUAUUAUUGUGUAGAGAUAGAGGGCACAAUCACGUCAAAUGCUAAAACAUGAGGUCUGAAUGC